rnacentral:tRNA from 3 species
GGCGGCCACCGCACCCCGCCUGAAAAGCGGAAGGUCGCCGGUUCGACCCCGGCCCCAGCCA